rnacentral:rRNA from 1 species
GUGCCAGACUCCUACGGGAGGCAGCAGUGGGGAAUAUUGCACAAUGGGGGAAACCCUGAUGCAGCGACGCCGCGUGAGUGAAGAAGUAUUUCGGUAUGUAAAGCUCUAUCAGCAGGGAAGAAGCAAGACGGUACCUGACUAAGAAGCCCCGGCUAACUACGUGCCAGCAGCCGCGGUAAUACGUAGGGGGCAAGCGUUAUCCGGAUUUACUGGGUGUAAAGGGAGCGCAGACGGCAGUGCAAGUCUGGAGUGAAAGCCCGGGGCCCAACCCCCGGACUGCUCUGGAAACUGUACGGCUGGAGUGCAGGAGAGGUAAGUGGAAUUCCUAGUGUAGCGGUGAAAUGCGUAGAUAUUAGGAGGAACACCAGUGGCGAAGGCGGCUUACUGGACUGUAACUGACGUUGAGGCUCGAAAGCGUGGGGAGCAAACAGGAUUAGAUACCCCAGUAU